rnacentral:lncRNA from 1 species
UGACUUUGACAUAAUCAAAGAUCAAGUACCUAACCACAAGACAACUAUGAUGCCUCAGGUCAAAGGACUACUUUGCAUUAUCCCAACCAUGAGUUCUCAUGUGACAUGAAUAUGAGAACUCUUUGUUGAUCGUGUUCAGUGAACUCAUUCUUUAUUGAGCACCUACGUACUGUCUUGAUGUCACACACACCAAUGACUCGAAACUAGUCACUCUCCCUGAGAGAAGACACAACACGUAUUGAUCUUAAUGGACUGUCAAUGCCCAAUUGGCAAUCCUAUGAUCAGGAACGUUUAGGAUGUGUCUACGAAAGAAUGGUCUCAUGAAUCUAACUUCUUUAGAUCGUAUUCUUCCAAUCACAUAUUCCUUGGACUUAUCGUUUAAGCGUAUAACAUUUAUAUGAGACGACUCAAACAAUAAUUUUUGCCUUUGAUAUUAAACUAGAUUAGUUUAACAUGUGAAAUGUCCGUAAAGUAUCAUCAUAUGAUUGGUUUUAGGGCACAUUUCCAACAAUCUCCCACUUGCACUAGAGUCAAUCAGCUUGGUCAUCAGUGAUGAUACCUCUUCUGUAGUCAUUUCAUAAAUGGCUGAGUAGUAGGCCUAGACAAUGGAUAUCUAUAUGUUAUCCAUAGAAGCAACCUUGAGAAUAACGACGUCACCAUUAUACAUGAUUCUUAAUCAUGUGGUUUAGUCUCUCAUUUGAGUUCGGAUCUUGAUGAGACCUUGAUUCCCUGGCUUGAGCUAUCGCCCCAUUAGUGUCGUAGUGUCGGUAUACUAGAGACACUUUCUGAUUGGAACCGAAUAGAGAGUUCAUAAAUGAACUUUCCCAUCCAAACAACCUUGUUGUAAGCUUCUAUAUGGCAAUAUAUUUUGCAUUCAUAAUGAAACACACUAAAGUCAUUACUUUUAAUGUUUCCAUCCAAAUAUCUCUUUAGUCAUAAUAAAGAGAUAUCUGAUUAUCUCUUCGUUCAUAAUGAAGAAAUAUCCAAUGAUGGAUUAGAUUCAUAAUCUAAUACAUUUAUGCUUCCAUUACAUUACUCUAAUUCUUCCUCAUUCUUUGAGGAAUCUAUCCUUUAGUAUUUCUUAAAUACUUAAGGACUCACUUGACAGUUGUUGUGGUUCUAAUCCUGGGCUUGCACUGAUAUCGUCUUGUACCUUUCUAGGUACAACUCAUAUCA